CUCCCGGCCAGGGGCAGGGGCUGAGCGAGAAGAUGCCACGGAGCUGUAGCAAAAGGCUUGGCACUUGUGCAUAGAGACCAGCCAACGCAUAGGUUUUGACAAGAGUUGAGAUGGUUGCCCAGCCGCUGCUUCAAGGGGCACGCAGGGAUGGCAAUUUGCCCCGAGUGCCAGGUGCACAGGUAAGCAAGCCCUGGCCUUUGCCAGCUUCUCACACCAAGCCACGGGAAGCCCUGAGCGCUUUUAUAAACCCAUGCUGCAAUUCCGCAGGCACCGGGCAAGAGCAGGCACACGACCGCUAUCAGAUUAGCCGCUGACCUUAUGCUGCCUUCAUGCCGCUCGUGGGAGGACGUGAUGCAGCAGAGAGGCAGAGCGGCACGGGCGAGCGGCACCUCAUCCAGCACCCGACACGCUCGUACAAGGUUAACCCACCAACGAUUUUAAACAAGCAUUCAAUGCUAUCUUUAGAUGUCAUCCUGUUUUGACAAAUGUCCGUGUAGUUCCUGAUACUAUCAGGGAACUGUGGCAUGACAAGGACUGGCUUAAGUAACAGCUGCAUAACUCUGUCAGGAAUGAAUGAUGCAGCCGGUGCCCUUUCUGGAAACACUCCCAUUUUAGAAUCAUAGAAUCAUUAUUUAAGCUGGAAAGGACCUUUAAGAUCAUCAAGUCCAACCGUUCAGUGAUUCUUGCUCCGACGCAGCAUCCAGCAGCCAGUCAUGGCCCACCUUGCCUGGGUUUUCAUCUUUCCUCUUCCCUCGACCUUGUGCAAGCACCUCAUCGCUGCAGAGUUUUGCUCACACUUUGGACUUCACAGCCUGAGAGACUGGAGAGUUGGGAUGUACAAGGCUGGCGGGGCAGGUAAAUGGGAACAGCAAAUGGGAACUGAAGCCUGAAAUGGUUAACCCUGAUGAGAGCUGGGCUUUUGACCCAGCAGAGUCCCAAGGCAUGUUUCCCCAAGGAUGAUGGGGCUGGAGUAUGGGCCUAGAAACGCUCUUCCUGACUUGCAGCAGAGGCCAGUUAUGUUCUAGACACUGGUAAAAUGGGCUUCCAAGCAGAGGCUGUGGAGAUUGAGGGCAAGUGAUAUAUCAUCCCCUGAGAUUUUGCGGCUGGCACGUAGUUUAUGUAUCUUUAUUCUUUAAAAAAUAAUUACUGCCUCUGCUGUGGGCUAAUAUUAUGGACAACCUGCAAAAUGUGAAACCUGAAGAGUUUUGUUGGCUUUUUUUAUUCAAAGAAAACUUUAAAUUUGUGGUGCUGAAGCAAUACAAGCAUUUUUUUGUUUGUUUCUUACAACAUUUUGUAUUAAACCUCUGAUGCUCUGGA